rnacentral:lncRNA from 1 species
ACAGGGUAAUUGCAAUUCAAAGCAUGUUCACUUCCCGUGUCAUCAACUGUUUUGACAUGACAGUAGGAAGUGUUAUCAAUAAUUCUUAGAGCUCCAACCUCAGCAGCGUGGGUAAAAUCAACUUCCAGAAGAACUUCUAUCCCAUUAUUAUGUAAUUUCUUCACCAUCUCCUUCAUGGUAUUGAUACAAGACACUGGAUCACCAGGAGAUCCAUAUUGGUUUGCAGGAGAAAAGAAAUGCCAUGGGAAAUAAGGCCCUUUCUGCUCAUCAAAAGGGAAAACUGGCUCCAACAGGAUAGCAUUCACCCCAAGAUCUUUAAAAUGAUGCAACUUCUCCGUGACACCUAAGAAGCUACCUCCAAGAUUAUUAGGUAAAUUACUGGACUUAUCCUUUGUAAAGCGCAUGACAUUUAAUCUGUAGACAACUAGUUCCUCCAACCGUAAACAAGGGCGCAUUUGCUGGCCCCAAUCAAAAGGAGGUACCUUGCUCAACUGUCCAAGACAUGUCAAUAAUGAAGUAGACUGACUACCUGCAGGAACAUCUCCAAUCAAUUUGGCAUAUGGAUCCAAGAGGACAUGCUCUUGCUCUGCAUCUUCAGCUACUUUGCACCGAUAACCAUAACUUGCAAACUGGAAGCUACGGUCUAUUGAGGCAUGCCAAAUGUCACCUGAUUUAUUGACGUAUGGAUCUAAGUCAAUC